CUACGGGCCGCAGCAGUAAGGAAUAUUGCGCAAUGGAGGCAACUCUGACGCAGCCAUGCCGCGUGCAGGAAGAAGGCCUUAUGGGUCGUAAACUGCUUUUAUUUAGGAAUAAACCCCCGAACGUGUUCGGGGCUGAAGGUACUAAACGAAUAAGCACCGGCUAACUCCGGGCCAGCAGCCGCGGUAAUACGGAGGGUGCAAGCGUUAUCCGGAUUUAUUGGGUUUAAAGGGUGCGCAGGCGGGCUAUUAAGUCAGUGGUGAAAUCCCGGGGCUCAACUCCGGAACUGCCAUUGAUACUGAUAGUCUUGAGUUUGGUUGAAGUGGGCGGAAUGUAGCAUGUAGCGGUGAAAUGCAUAGAUAUGCUACAGAACACCAAUCGCGAAGGCAGCUCACUAAGCCAAAACUGACGCUCAUGCACGAAAGCGUGGGGAUCAAACAGGAUUAGAUACCCUAGUAGUC
rnacentral:rRNA from 1 species